AUUUGACUUCUGUCAUGGCCGCCAGCAUUUCUUGAGGAGCAAGCUAAAAAAAACUAGGCCAAAUCAGCUCCCCUUUAAUUAAGGCAGAGGAGUUGGGUUAGCAUGUGAGUUCAAAUCCAAACCCAGGCCUCGGAUGAAGAUUUUUCAGAACUGCGUCCGUCUCUUCUAUGGCUGGGAGGUUGUAAUUUGUUACAGGCGGCGAGGCUGGGCGGUCCAGGACCUCUGUCUUAUCUGGACAGGGGAUCACUAGCAAAUCAUAUCAGAGAUAUGUGGUGCUCCCCAGACCAGUGUUGAGGCAGGGAUGGACAACACUGUUCAUCUGAGCUUGCCCCUCUCCUCUGCACUCAGUGAUGUCCAGCCCCCAUAUACACCCAUUGACUCGAUUGUGCUGAUGUCCCACUGUAAGAACUUGGAGAUGUUCACUGGUUCUUAGGGAGGUGACCUGGCCACCAAUGGUUCUGAGGGAGGUGACCUGGCCACCAAUGGUUCUGAGGGAGGUGACCUGGCCACCAAUGGUUCUGAGGGAGGUGACCUGGCCACCAAUGGUUCUGAGGGAGGUGACCUGGCCACCAACGGUGCCUAAGACACGUUCCAGCAUUACCGCUGUCUGAGCGUGUAAUGCUCAGACAGCCAGAGCGUGGUCAAGAACCCCUCCACAGACAUCUGCCACAAGAAACAUCUUGUCCUCUCGCAGGAAACAUCCUGUCCUCUCGCAGGAUACAUCCUGUCCGCUCGCAGGAGACAUCCUGUCCUCUCGCAGGAGACAUCCUGUCCUCUCACAGGAGACAUCCUGUCCGCUAGCAGGAGACAUCCUGUCCUCUCGUAGGAGACAUCCUGUCCGCUCGCAGGAGACAUCCUGUCCUCUCGUAGGAGACAUCCUGUCCGCUCGCAGGAGACAUCCUGUCCGCUCGCAGGAGACAGCUCGCAGGACACAUCCUGUCAGCUCGCAGGACCCAUCCUUUGCGCUCUCAGGAGACAUCCUUUGCGCUCUCGACUAGUCUGUGCUCUAGCGGCACUCAUCCUCUGUGCUCUAGCGGCACUCAUCCUCUGUGCUCUAGCGGCACUCAUCCACUGCUCGCGGGACCCAUCCACUGCUCGCGGGACCCAUCCACUGCUCGCGGGACCCAUCCACUGCUCGUGGGACCCAUCCACUGCUCGCGGGACCCAUCCACUGCUCGCGGGACCCAUCCACUGCUCGCGGGACCCAUCCUCUGUGCUCUCGGCUCAGUGUUUGCUUGCUCAAUAAUGUUUCAUCUUGCUCAAUAGAGCCAUAUUGUGUGCAAUGGACUUUAGAGGCUCAUUUGACGCCGUAAACAGAUCGCAGAUACAAAUAAAAUGAUGAUAUUGUGGAUAAUAUGUUUAUUUGUCAAAGGGCAGUCAAGCAUCUCACCAGAAUAAUACCUUGGAUAUUUAUUGGAAAAGAGCAUCAAGCUCAUCACCGUGCACUUUCACCACCCUGUGAAGUUCAUCAUAACUUAUUUUAAUCUGUACCUAAUAAACUGUAUGCUUCCUGAAUUGUAGUGGGAGGACCACACACCAUAUUAUUGCGUGACUCUAAGUUUACUUCGAUAUGAUCAUUAUAUCAAUAUCUGCUAAUA